rnacentral:rRNA from 1 species
UACGUAGGGCGCAAGCGUUAUCCGGAAUUAUUGGGCGUAAAGAGCUCGUAGGCGGCCUGUCGCGUCUGCUGUGAAAUCCCGGGGCUUAACCCCGGGCGUGCAGUGGAUACGGGCAGGCUAGAGGCAGGCAGGGGAGAACGGAAUUCCUGGUGUAGCGGUGAAAUGCGCAGAUAUCAGGAGGAACACCGGUGGCGAAGGCGGUUCUCUGGGCCUGUACUGACGCUGAGGAGCGAAAGCGUGGGGAGCGAACAGG